UUGUAUUUAAUAUAAUUAAUAUAUAACCUUAUAAGUAAAAUCGGCUCAAAACUGGUGCGAACAAGGGGAAUUAGACUAUUUAAUUAAAACAAAGCAUUGUGAUGUUCCAUGUAGAUGCUAACACAAUGUGAUUUAUGCCCAGUUCUAUGUAUGUAAAAGUGAAGAAAUUCAACCAAGAACGGGUAAACGGUGGGAGUAAAUAUGACUUUCUUAAGGUAGCCAAAUGCCUCAUCAUCUAAUUAGUGACACACAUGAAUGGAUUAAUGAGAUUCCUACUAUCCCUAUCUACUAUCUAGAGAAACCAUAGC
rnacentral:ncRNA from 1 species